rnacentral:rRNA from 1 species
AUACGGGGGGUGCAAGCGUUGUUCGGAAUCAUUGGGCGUAAAGGGUUCGUAGGUGGAAUUAUAAGUCUGGUGUGAAAGCCCACAGCUCAACUGUGGAACUGCACUGGAUACUGUUUUUCUUGAGUUAUAGAGGGGUUUGUGGAAUUUCUGGUGUAGAGGUGAAAUUUGUAGAGAUCAGAAAGAACACCGGUGGCGAAGGCGACAAACUGGCUAUUAACUGACACUGAGGAACGAAAGCGUGGGGAGCGAACAGGAUUAGAAACCCGAGUAGUCC